rnacentral:tRNA from 1 species
GGGCGAUUAGCUCAAUUGGCGAGAGCGCUUGCCCUACAAGCAAGAGGUCACUGGUUCGAGUCCAGUAUCGCCCACCA